AUGUAUGACAAAAGUAGGAAAGACAGGACUGAGGAAAAUCUUAUGCAUUCAUUUGCUGUUCAUGACCUGACACAAGAGAAGAAGAAGCUGCAGGAGAACUAUGAUAAGUUGGUUGAAGAUGUGAAUGGACUUUUGGAUGCUCAGGAAAGGAGGGCAGAGGUAGAAAGGAAAGAUCUUGAAACCAACAAGCUUCAGGAGAAGUAUGACAUGGUUAAGAACUUAGCAGCUGCUCAAGCAAAUGUCACUAGGAACAUGAAGCUCAAGCUAGCUGAAGAGAGGAAGAACUUGCAGAACCACAUUGAUCAGCUGAACAAGACAGUUGAAGAGAGGAAGAACUUGCAGAACCACAUUGAUGAGCUGAAGAAGACAGUUGAAGAGAGCAAUGUGAAGCUGGAGGGGGUCAAGGCAAUCAUAAAUGGAUAA
rnacentral:rRNA from 1 species